rfam:Capsicum annuum cultivar Zunla-1 chromosome 9, whole genome shotgun sequence
UGUUAGUGGUGCAGACAAUCACUAAGAAGAUGUUUGAAUCACUCUCAUGCAUGAUAGAGAUUCUCAUCUGGCUUUUGUUUGAAACUUAGGGUCUCACUUCUUAAACU